CAUUAAAAAAUUGAAAGGUAAAAAAUGGCAUUACGAGUGAAUAAGAGAUAAGAAAGAUGUUUGGUGACAUAGACCUAAAGAAGGCUAAUAUAAA
rnacentral:lncRNA from 1 species